AUUGAACGCUGGCGGCAGGCCUAACACAUGCAAGUCGAACGCGUGGCGGACGGGUGAGUAAUGACUGGGAAACUGCCAGAUGGAGGGGGAUAACUCCUGGAAACGGUAGCUAAUACCGCAUACCAUCGGCUGUGCCCAGUGGGGAUUAGCUAGUUGGUGGGCUAACGUCUCACCAAGGCGACGAUCCCGAGCUGGUCUGAGAGGAUGACCAUGCACACUGGAACGAGGCCCGGGUCAAGGCUCCUACGGGAGGCGGCAGUGGGGAAUAUUGCACAAAUGGAGCAAGCCUGAUGGGGCCAUGCCGCUUGUAUGAAGAAGGCCUUCGGGUUGUAAAGUACUUUCAGCGGGGAGACGGUACUCGCAGAAGAAGCAGCGGCUAACUCCGUGCCAGCAGCCGCGGUAAUAC
rnacentral:rRNA from 1 species